rnacentral:lncRNA from 1 species
CUGCAAGGUGAUGGACUCCAACGUGACCACCUCGGAAACUACCAAACUCCAAGCCACUGGCAGUUCCAGCGCACAAAACCCCUUGCAGAGAGGAGGCGAGAGAAGCGAACUGGGAGGAGGCCUUCUGUUUGGCUACAAAGCGGAUGGACCACGUCCUCAGGUCUCCUGGAAGUUGUUGAAACACAGUGAGGGAGGUGACAUCACUCACAGGAUGGAAACAAAGAAGCAUUUACAGUAGACUCAUGCCGGCAUCCUUCAGACUGAAGUCCUAGGGCCCAGUUCUGUCCCUCCCCACCUCUCUCUCUCUCUCUCUCUCUCUCUCUCUCUCUCUCUCUCUCUCUCUCAUUUUUCUUUUCUUAGCUCAGGGAAUUUUAACCAGGAAUUGCUUUAAUAGGUAUAAUUAGGUGUAGUUUUCUUCCCAAAUUAGCCCUGUUUACGAACACGUUACUAGGAAUCUAGGGGGUUCCAGCCAGCGUCACUACGUAUUAGUUGAUGAAUCCAGAGUCCACUCUUGGAGUUCAUAAGACCCCUUGAUAAAAAUAAGAUAAGAACUGACCCACAUGAACUUCAA